rnacentral:rRNA from 1 species
GUGAGGAAUAUUGGUCAAUGGGCGGGAGCCUGAACCAGCCAAGUCGCGUGAAGGAAGAAGGAUCUAUGGUUCGUAAACUUCUUUUGCAGGAGGGUAAAGUGAGCUACGUGUAGUUCAUUGCAAGUACCCUGCGAAUAAGCAUCGGCUAACUCCGUGCCAGCAGCCGCGGUAAUACGGAGGAUGCGAGCGUUAUCCGGAUUUAUUGGGUUUAAAGGGUGCGUAGGCGGACUAAUUAGUCAGCGGUGAAAUUUUGCGGCUCAACCGUAAAACUGCCGUUGAAACUGUUAGUCUUGAGUGCGGUAGAGGUAGGCGGAAUGUGUGGUGUAGCGGUGAAAUGCUUAGAUAUCACACAGAACACCGAUUGCGUAGGCAGCUUACUGGAGCGCAACUGACGCUGAGGCACGAAAGCGUGGGGAUCGAACAGGAUUAGAAACCCCGGUAGUCC